rnacentral:rRNA from 1 species
GACGAACGCUGGCGGCGUGCUUAACACAUGCAAGUCGAACGGAAAGGCCCUGCUUGCCGGGUACUCGAGUGGCGAACGGGUGGGUAACACGUGGGUGAUCUGCCCUGCACUUCGGGAUAAGCUUGGGAAACUGGGUCUAAUACCGGAUAGGAACCAUCUUUAGUGUGGUGGUUGGAAAGUUUUUUCGGUGUAGGAUGAGCUCGCGGCCUAUCAGCUUGUUGGUGGGGUAAUGGCCUACCAAGGCGGCGACGGGUAGCCGGCCUGAGAGGGUGUACGGCCACAUUGGGACUGAGAUACGGCCCAGACUCCUACGGGAGGCAGCAGUGGGGAAUAUUGCACAAUGGGCGCAAGCCUGAUGCAGCGACGCCGCGUGGGGGAUGAAGGCCUUCGGGUUGUAAACUCCUUUCGCUAGGGACGAAGCUUUGUUGUGACGGUACCUAGAUAAGAAGCACCGGCUAACUACGUG